GACGGGGGGUCCUAGCGUUGUUCGGAAUCAUUGGGCGUAAAGAGGGCGUAGGUGGCCAUGUAAGUCGGGAGUGAAAUCCCUGGGCUCAACCCAGGAAGUGCUCUCGAUACUGCUUGGCUUGAAUGUGGAAGAGGAUAGUGGAAUUCCAGGUGUAGUGGUGAAAUACGUAGAUAUCUGGAGGAACACCGGUGGCGAAGGCAGGUCUCUGGGCUAGAACUGACGCUCAUGCACGAAAGCGUGGGGAGCAAACAGG
rnacentral:rRNA from 1 species